rnacentral:rRNA from 1 species
AUUGAACGCUGGCGGCAGGCCUAACACAUGCAAGUCGAACGAGUGGCGGACGGGUGAGUAAUGUCUGGGACACUGCCUGAUGGAGGGGGAUAACUACCGGAAACGGUUGCUACUACCGCAUACCAUCGGAUGUGCCCAGGUGGGAUUAGCUAGUAGGUGGGGUAACGGCUCACCUAGGCGACGAUCCCUAGCUGGUCUGAGAGGAUGACCAGCCACACUGGAACUGAGACACGGGCCAGACUCCUACGGGAGGCAGCAGUGGGGAAUAUUGGACAAUGGGCGCAAGCCUGAUGCAGCCAUGCCGCGUGUAUGAAGAAGGCCUUCGGGUUGUAAAGUACUUUCAGCGGGGAGGCGUUACCAGCAGAAGAAGCACCGGCUAACUCCGUGCCAGCAGCCGCGGUAAUAC